UACGUAGGGGGCAAGCGUUGUCCGGAAUCAUUGGGCGUAAAGAGCGUGUAGGCGGCUCGGUAAGUCCGCUGUAAAAGUCCAGGGCUCAACCCUGGAAAGCCGGUGGAAACUGUCGAGCUAGAGUCCGGAAGAGGCGAGUGGAAUUCCUGGUGUAGCGGUGAAAUGCGCAGAUAUCAGGAGGAACACCGGUGGCGAAGGCGGAUCUCUGGGCCGAUACUGACGCUGAGGAGCGAAAGCGUGGGGAGCGAACAGG
rnacentral:rRNA from 1 species